CUAGAGCACACUGCUGAUUCCCUGCGGAAGCAUCUGGCAACAUGUGGUUGGGUGGCCAAUGACACCAAAGUCCAGGGACCUGGUUUAUCUGUCAAUUCUUAGGGGUUGUCUCGUCAGAUGGAGUGUGGCAAAUAGUGUUGUGGACUGGACGCACACCUUUGCUGAGGUGGCCAAUGUGUCUAACUGCUGGGUGUGCACAGAACUGCCCACCAUCGUGGCAGUAGGCUUGCCGUGGCACAUCCACCCUGCUUCAGAAGGAAACCGGACCUGAUUGCAUUCCUGGGGACCUGCCAAUGCUCAGUGGGACCAAAGAAGGUGCCCAGUGGACCAGAAGCUGCACUGACAACGUGGACCUAAACGGCCCCGGGCAACCCCAAGCCUCUGGGGUGGCUAUGGGUGGUUACCCAGGGAGGCUGUUGCGCUCCGCACGUCUGUGCCCCUAUGCAUAGAGCAACAAAAGGGGGAUGUGAUAGCAGGGUGGGUACCCAAGGAGCUGUGUCAGAAGAUCCAGUGAGUGACCCAGCCCAAGUAUUGGUAGAAUGUCUGUCCCUAUGUGGGAACGAUCCCCACAGACAGUGUACCCAUGGGCAGUCUCUGGGUAUGUGGUAGUUAUGCAUGGCCUUAUCUCCCGGCCAACUAGACAGGGCGAUGUACCCGGGGGUGGCCCUAUCUCCUGGCUACCGUUCGGAGAACCUUGGAUGUGCGCCCCAGCAAUUGGGAGAGGGUAAAAGGGCGCUAUCAGCAGGAGAAAUGAACACCCUGGUGGGUUUACCCACAGACUGUUCUUAGUCUGUCCGUGGGGAUGAUUGCUGUGGAGUGGCACGUUACUGCCUUGGCACAGCAUACUGCCCGGGCCCUCAAUCAUACAGCCCAGGCCCUGUCUCUCUUAACUGAUGAAGUAGACCAGACCGGGAAGGUUGUGCUGUAGAACCGCAUGGCUCUAGACAUCCUUACUGCAGCACAAGGGGAGACCUGUGCAGUCAUUGAGGUGCAAUGUUACAUGUAUAUACCAGAUAAAGCAAGGAACAUAUCACAAGCCUUGCGACAGGCCAAGCAGGAGAUCUUGAGGAUCCAGAUGUUGAUGGGAGACCCCCUACAGGAAUGGUGGUCUAAGCUGUCCUCCUCAUGGCAGUGGGUUCUCAUCACAUUAGGAAGUAUAGCUUGUCUCUUGGUGGUCGUUUGCUGUUCUCUGUGUUGUUGUUGUGGAAUGUGGGUCCAAGGCAUUGGGCUGUGUGCCCCUACCUCCCACAGGCUCCCCCCACUGCUGAGGUCCCAUGGGGGUGGAGGGAAGGGAGAUGGAGGUUCUGUGGACCAUCAGACCAGAGCAGCUUCCAGGCGGAUGUGACUCAGCAUGUCCGCUGCAGGCAGCACAUGCGCCAACCAUGUAUGUAAACACAUUAUGUAACCUGCAUAAUGUAAACAUUGUCUGCUGGCUGUCUGCCACUUUUGUCCAGUAGUCAUAUAAAAGCGGCCACAAGGGGAGCCGCUGCAGUCCAACCAUCAGUUGGCCAGAGUGAAUAAAGAGUAUGUCUGCUUUGC